rnacentral:rRNA from 1 species
UCGGGAAUUUUGGGCAAUGGGGGAAACCCUGACCCAGCAACGCCGCGUGAAGGAUGAAGUAUUUCGGUAUGUAAACUUCGAAAGAAUAGGAAGAAUAAAUGACGGUACUAUUUAUAAGGUCCGGCUAACUACGUGCCAGCAGCCGCGGUAAUACGUAGGGACCAAGCGUUGUUCGGAUUUACUGGGCGUAAAGGGCGCGUAGGCGGCAUGACAAGUCACUUGUGAAAUCUCUGGGCUUAACCCAGAACGGCCAAGUGAUACUGUCGCGCCAGAGUGCAGAAGGGGCAAUCGGAAUUCUUGGUGUAGCGGUGAAAUGCGUAGAUAUCAAGAGGAACACCUGAGGUGAAGACGGGUUGCUGGGCUGACACUGACGCUGAGGCGCGAAAGCCAGGGGAGCAAACGGGAUUAGAUACCCCUGUAGUCCCUGAGCGGGCUGGCAAGGCGCAU